rnacentral:rRNA from 1 species
UACGUAGGGUGCAAGCGUUGUCCGGAAUUAUUGGGCGUAAAGAGCUCGUAGGCGGUCUGUCACGUCGGCUGUGAAAACCCGGGGCUCAACCCCGGGCCUGCAGUGGAUACGGGCAGGCUAGAGGCAGGCAGGGGAGAACGGAAUUCCUGGUGUAGCGGUGAAAUGCGCAGAUAUCAGGAGGAACACCGGUGGCGAAGGCGGUUCUCUGGGCCUGAUCUGACGCUGAGGAGCGAAAGCGUGGGGAGCGAACAGG